rnacentral:rRNA from 1 species
UGGGGAAUAUUGGACAAUGGGCGAAAGCCUGAUCCAGCCAUGCCGCGUGUGUGAAGAAGGUCUUCGGAUUGUAAAGCACUGUAAGUUGGGAGGAAGGGCAGUUACCUAAUACGUAUCUGUUUUGACGUUACCGACAGAAUAAGCACCGGCUAACUCUGUGCCAGCAGCCGCGGUAAUACAGAGUGUGCAAGCGUUAAUCGGAAUUACUGGGCGUAAAGCGCGCGUAGGUGGUUUGUUAAGUUGGAUGUGAAAUCCCCGGGCUCAACCUGGGAACUGCAUUCAAAACUGACAAGCUAGAGUAUGGUAGAUGGGGGUGGAAUUUCCUGUGUAGCGGUGAAAUGCGUAGAUAUAGGAAGGAACACCAGUGGCGAAGGCGACCACCUGGACUGAUACUGACACUGAGGUGCGAAAGCGUGGGGAGCAAACA